rnacentral:tRNA from 1 species
ACCUGGGUGGCUCAGUGGGUUAAGCGUCUGACUUUGGCUCAGGUCAUGAUCUCACGGUUCGUGGGUUCAAGUCCCGCAUCAGGCU